GCCGAGAUGGCGGAAUUGGUAGACGCGCUAGCCUCAGGAGCUAGUGGGCGCAAGCCCAUGGGGGUUCGAGUCCCCCUCUCGGCACCA
rnacentral:tRNA from 1 species